rnacentral:rRNA from 1 species
CCUUACGGCCACACCGCCCUGGUUCACGCCCGAUCUCGUUUGAUCUCGGAAGCUAAGAUAGGUUGGGCCUGGUUAGUACUUGGAUGGGAGACCGCCUGGGAUUACCAGGUACUGUAAACU